GGUUGCCAACCCGCGAGGUGGAGCUAAUCCCAUAAAACCGAUCGUAGUCCGGAUCGCAGUCUGCAACUCGACUGCGUGAAGUCGGAAUCGCUAGUAAUCGUGAAUCAGAAUGUCACGGUGAAUACGUUCCCGGGCCUUGUACACACCGCCCGUCACACCAUGGGAGUGGGUUGCUCCAGAAGUAGUUAGCCUAACCGCAAGGGGGACGGUUACCACGGAGGGAUUCAUGACUGGGGUGAAGUCGUAACAAGGUAGCCGUAUGGGAACGUGCGGUUGGAUCACCUCCAAAGCCGUAUGGGAACGUGCGGUUGGAUCACCUCCAAAUA
rnacentral:rRNA from 1 species